GAAAAGAAUGCUAAUACCGCAUAACAUAUAUUUAUCGCAUGGUAGAUAUAUCAAAGAUUUAUCGCUUAGAGAUGGACUCGCGUCCGAUUAGUUAGUUGGUGAGGUAACGGCUCACCAAGACUGCGAUCGGUAGCCGGACUGAGAGGUUGAACGGCCACAUUGGGACUGAGACACGGCCCAGACUCCUACGGGAGGCAGCAGUGGGGGAUAUUGCGCAAUGGGGGAAACCCUGACGCAGCAACGCCGCGUGAAGGAUGAAGGUCUUCGGAUUGUAAACUUCUUUUAUUAAGGACGAAGAAAGUGACGGUACUUAAUGAAUAAGCUCCGGCUAACUACGUGCCAGCAGCCGCGGUAAUACGUAGGGAGCAAGCGUUGUCCGGAUUUACUGGGUGUAAAGGGUGCGUAGGCGGCUUUGCAAGUCAGAUGUGAAAUCUAUGGGCUCAACCCAUAGCCUGCAUUUGAAACUGCAGAGCUUGAGUGAAGUAGAGGCAGGCGGAAUUCCCCGUGUAGCGGUGAAAUGCGUAGAGAUGGGGAGGAACACCAGUGGCGAAGGCGGCCUGCUGGGCUUUAACUGACGCUGAGGCACGAAAGCGUGGGUAGCAAACAGGAUUAGAUACCCUGGUAGUCCACGCUGUAAACGAUGAUUACUAGGUGUGGGGGGUCUGACCCCUUCCGUGCC
rnacentral:rRNA from 1 species